rnacentral:rRNA from 1 species
AGUGAACGCUGGCGGUAGGCCUAACACAUGCAAGUCGAACGGCAGCACAGUAAGAGCUUGCUCUUACGGGUGGCGAGUGGCGGACGGGUGAGGCAUACAUCGGAAUCUACUUUUUCGUGGGGGAUAACGUAGGGAAACUUACGCUAAUACCGCAUACGACCUACGGGUGAAAGCAGGGGAUCUUCGGACCUUGCGCGACUGAAUGAGCCGAUGUCGGAUUAGCUAGUUGGCGGGGUAAAGGCCCACCAAGGCGACGAUCCGUAGCUGGUCUGAGAGGAUGAUCAGCCACACUGGAACUGAGACACGGUCCAGACUCCUACGGGAGGCAGCAGUAGGGAAUAUUGGGCAAUGGGCGCAAGCCUGAUGCAGCCAUACCGCGUGAGUGAAGAAGGCCUUCGGGUUGUAAAGCCCUUUUGUUGGGAAAGAAAAGCAGCAUGUUAAUACCCCGCUGUUCUGACGGUACCCAAAGAAUAAGCACCGGCUAACUUCGUG